GACGAACGCUGGCGGCGUGCCUAAUACAUGCAAGUCGAACGCUUCUUUCCUCCCGAGUGCUUGCACUCAAUUGGAAAGAGGAGUGGCGGACGGGUGAGUAACACGUGGGUAACCUACCCAUCAGAGGGGGAUAACACUUGGAAACAGGUGCUAAUACCGCAUAACAGUUUAUGCCGCAUGGCAUAAGAGUGAAAGGCGCUUUCGGGUGUCGUUGAUGGAUGGACCCGCGGUGCAUUAGCUAGUUGGUGAGGUAACGGCUCACCAAGGCCACGAUGCAUAGCCGACCUGAGAGGGUGAUCGGCCACACUGGGACUGAGACACGGCCAAGACUCCUACGGGAGGCAGCAGUAGGGAAUCUUCGGCAAUGGACGAAAGUCUGACCGAGCAACGCCGCGUGAGUGAAGAAGGUUUUCGGAUCGUAAAACUCUGUUGUUAGAGAAGAACAAGGACGUUAGUAACUGAACGUCCCCUGACGGUAUCUAACCAGAAAGCCACGGCUAACUACGUG
rnacentral:rRNA from 1 species